CCUACGGGAGGCAGCAGUAGGGAAUCUUCCACAAUGGGCGAAAGCCUGAUGGAGCAACGCCGCGUGGGUGAAGAAGGUCUUCGGAUCGUAAAACCCUGUUGUUAGAGAAGAAAGUGCGUGAGAGUAACUGUUCACGUUUCGACGGUAUCUGACCAGAAAGCCACGGCUAACUACGUGCCAGCAGCCGCGGUAAUACGUAGGUGGCAAGCGUUAUCCGGAUUUAUUGGGCGUAAAGGGAACGCAGGCGGUCUUUUAAGUCUGAUGUGAAAGCCUUCGGCUUAACCGGAGUAGUGCAUUGGAAACUGGGAGGCUUGAGUGCAGAAGAGGAGAGUGGAACUCCAGGUGUAGCGGUGAAAUGCGUAGAUAUAUGGAAGAACACUAGUGGCGAAAGCGGCUCUCUGGUCUGUAACUGACGCUGAGGUUCGAAAGCGUGGGUAGCAAACAGGAUUAGAUACCCCUGUAGUC
rnacentral:rRNA from 1 species